rnacentral:rRNA from 1 species
UACGUAGGGUGCAAGCGUUAAUCGGAAUUACUGGGCGUAAAGGGUCUGUAGGCGGCCAACUAAGUCCGACGUGAAAUCCCCAGGCUUAACCUGGGAACUGCGUCGGAUACUGGAUGGCUUGAAUUCGGGAGAGGGAUGCAGAAUUCCAGGUGUAGCGGUGAAAUGCGUAGAUAUCUGGAGGAAUACCGGUGGCGAAGGCGGCAUCCUGGACCGACAUUGACGCUGAACGACGAAAGCUAGGGGAGCAAACGGG